UCACUCUGGUUUCUCUUCAAUUGUCGAAUAAAUCUUUCGCCUUUUACUAAAGUAUUUCCGUGGAGAGGAACACUCUAAUGAGUCUAAACUAAAUUUUUGUUAAGGCCUGAUAACUUAUGUUAUCG